rnacentral:lncRNA from 1 species
AUUUGAGUUAAGAUCAACGGUUUAUUCAUUAGUUAUUGAGGUUUAAUUCUAUUGUAGAAAUUACUAUGGUUUAGUUAGGAUUUGAUUUAGGAUUAGGAUUUGAUUAGGAUUUGAUUUAGGAUUAGGAUUUGGUUAAGAUUGGAUUUAGGAUUUAAGAUUAGGAUUAGGGCUUGAUUAGGAUUUGAUUUAGAAUUAAGAUUUGGUUAGAAUUUGGUUAGGGUUUGAUUUAGGAUUAGGAUUUGGUUAGGCUUUGAUUUAGAAUUAAGAUUUGGUUAGAGUUUGGUUAAGGUUUGAUUUAGGAUUAGGAUUUGGUUUAGGGUUUAGGAUUUGGUUAGGAUUUGAUUUAAGAUUAGGAUUUGAUUUAGAGGUGGUUAGGAUUUAUUUUAGGGUUAGGGUUUGAUUAGGGUUUGAUUCAGGGUGAGGAUUUGGUUAGGAUUUGGUUAGGAUUUGAUUUAGGAUUUAGGAUUUGGUUUAAGAUUUAAGGUUUGAUUAGAAUUUAAGAUUUAGUUAGUUUUUGGCCUAAAGUUUGAAUGAAGUAAGAUUUCAACUAGGAUUAAAUUAAAAUUAAAUUGAGAUAUAUUUGAGAUACAUUUGUAAUCAUUCUAAUAUUUCUUUAAGAUUUCUUAUUGUUUCUUUGGAAUUCCUUUGAAGUUUCUCUGAAUUUGAUUAAAGCUUGUUUAGCAUUGUUAGUGUUCUA